rnacentral:rRNA from 1 species
GACGAACGCUGGCGGCGUGCCUAAUACAUGCAAGUAGAACGCUGAAGAGAGGAGCUUGCUCUUCUUGGAUGAGUUGCGAACGGGUGAGUAACGCGUAGGUAACCUGCCUUGUAGCGGGGGAUAACUAUUGGAAACGAUAGCUAAUACCGCAUAACAAUGGAUGACACAUGUCAUUUAUUUGAAAGGGGCAAUUGCUCCACUACAAGAUGGACCUGCGUUGUAUUAGCUAGUAGGUGAGGUAAUGGCUCACCUAGGCGACGAUACAUAGCCGACCUGAGAGGGUGAUCGGCCACACUGGGACUGAGACACGGCCCAGACUCCUACGGGAGGCAGCAGUAGGGAAUCUUCGGCAAUAGGGGCAACCCUGACCGAGCAACGCCGCGUGAGUGAAGAAGGUUUUCGGAUCGUAAAGCUCUGUUGUAAGUCAAGAGCGGGUGUGAGAGUGGAAAGUUCACACUGUGACGGUAGCUUACCAGAAAGGGACGGCUAACUACGUG